CCAGCUCGCUGAGGCACUCAUAGGCCGAGCCCGCCUGCAGGAAGAGCUGGGCCAGGCACAUACUCUCGCUGCGGAACAGGGAGCCCAUGAUGAGCCCUGGGCCGGAGAGGGGGGGGAGGCUGCGGCCACCCGGCACCCACACGCCAAACGGGCUGAAGAGGAUCACCGGGCCCUGUAGCGCGACCGCCUCCCGCGGGCUUUGGCGGGCUCCCCCAUCCCCGGGGCCAUGGAGAGAGCUCAGCUCCUGCGUCCGCGAGCAGCAACUCCAGCCGCUUCCGGUGUCUAACCCUUCUCAGCAGGCCGGGGGAGCGCGGGCCGAGCGGCGGCGAGCCCUGCGCUCUUCCGCCCCGCCUCCGGGCCGAGCGGCAGAGCGCGCGGGGAAAAGGGCCAGGGCGGAGGCUCCUCUCAGAGCAGCCGCCAGCCGGGCCGGGGCCGGGGCUCGCUCGGCGCUCUGGCUGGGGAGCGAGGUGUAGGGAGAAUUCACUACCCGAGGCGGGAUGAAGCGUUCCAACGAGUUCCCCGGACCGCCUGCUGUCUACACCACAGAGAUCAGCCAGCUCACCCCCCUUCUCCUCCCAGGGGGUUGAUGUCCCUUAGCUCCAGCCUGAUGAAAACUACUGAGCCUUGGCUCCUUUCAGGAUUUACAGCCACACACCUGAGCCGGAAUCUUGGAUUGUCUUUACCUCUCAGGCCUGCUCUAAGUCUCAUCCAUUGGAGGCAGGUGAUCAUCAGUUGGAACUUCCACCCACAACUCCAUCUUCAGGCAGUGUAGUGCAUAAUUGGCCAGGUUGAUUGUGCAGAGCUGAGUCACCUCCUGCUGCAGCACUGGUGUUAGGCCACUGUUUAAGACAAGAUACCAGGCUAGAUGGAGCCUUUGGUCAGUAAAAUAGGCUAGUUCCUGGCAAUUUUUAAUAUAUCCCACUUAAGUCUAGUUUUUUUUUUUUAAUUCCUGCUUUUAUGCAGUAACUGCAUCUUUCUAAAUGUAUCUAUUUCAAACCACAACAUACAGUACAUAUAUAUUUUUGUAAAGAGGUCACCUGUGAAGGGGGGGGGAGGAGGUGGAAUUUAUGUCUGCAAGAGGUUUUGGUUGAGAAAAAACUGUUCUAGCCAGGACGUUAGCCUGUUAAGUCUAGUCUCUAGAAAUCAUGUAUUGAUUUUGUUUUAUUAUCCUUACUCACUAUUUCUUGAAUCUUGAUCUUUAAUAAUAAACUUAUGAUUGUUUUCACUACAAA